GUAUUACUAGCUUAAUGGUAGAGCCCCCCAAUGUCACUGAGGAAGCUGUCAGUUCGAAUCUGAUGUAAUACG